rnacentral:rRNA from 1 species
AGCGCCGAAUCCGCCGCGGCCUACAGCCCGGCCGGAACUGUGGCGUGCGGGACGUGGCCAGUCGAUCGGGAGCGUACCCGAGUCCCCCCGAGCGGGGCCCAUCCCAUAGCGGGUGCCAGGCCUCUGCAGGUACGCAUCCGACCGGCCGCUACCGUCCCCGGAGUCGGGUCGCUUGGGAAUGCAGCCCGAAGCGGGUGGUAAACUCCACCUAAGGCUAAAUACCGGCGCGAGUCCGAUAGCGGACAAGUACCGCGAGGGAAAGUUGAAAAGAA